UUCCUGCCUGGGGCUUUGCUCUGCUCAGCUACACCACCCUCUGAAACAUGUGAUCUGCAUUCCAAAUGGUUCACUGACAGUUUCUCUAUUACCCAGCACAGAUUCACUUUGAAGAGUAUUAAAGAUACGUUCAGCUGAAUAAAGCAGACUCACAUCACCACCUUCUGCUGGCUGUACAAUGCUCUCCAUCCUACAGGACUCACAUCCAGAGUAUCUGCCUGGAAACCCUGUUGCCUGGAGACCACUUUUGAAGAACAUCCACUGCUGUGGCCUCUUAAAGAUUUAAGACAUCUAAUGAAGAGCUGACAGAAAUCAUCAGUUUGCUCCUCAGCAAGUAAUAUUUUUAAGUCACAAUAAAACACUUACCUGGAUAUUAUGUAUUCAGAUAAUCAUAAUAGCUCAAGUAUAGGAUGCAAAGGGGAAAAAUACCUUUGAAAAAUUUGAAUUGUACAAAUCCAUACAAAAGAGAGAUGGGAUAAAAAAUAAAAUCCGCAUUUUCUUCAUGGAAGAUGCUGUCAGGUCCUCCUAUUAAUUAUUUAUUCUGGUUUUAAAAACUAUUCAAAAAGGCUUUAUUUAUAUUUUGAACUCUAUUGUAUAUUAUCAUUCUCUGUAGCCCAAAGGAAUUUUGAAGUAGAAAUUCAAUGAAUGGCAUAAGGAUACUGGAAAAGUGGAUGAAAGGAGACAUGAUGCAGCCAAAAGAAUUCCAUAUCAACUUGAAGCAUUCUGGAGAGGGUUCAAGAAUCCAGCAUAUCUUAACAAGGUCCAAGUAUCUCACAGUAUGAUGGCAGAAUAUGUCACCAGUAACAAACACCAGGUACAAAUGAUUAUUAUUUUAUUUUACUCUUUGUUUUUUAUUUAUUUAUUUAUUUUUGAGACAGGGUCUUGCCC